rnacentral:rRNA from 1 species
AUUGAACGCUGGCGGCAUGCUUUACACAUGCAAGUCGAACGGCAGCGGGGGCUUCGGUCCGCCGGCGAGUGGCGAACGGGUGAGUAAUGCAUCGGAACGUGCCCAGUCGUGGGGGAUAACACAUCGAAAGAUGUGCUAAUACCGCAUACGUCCUGAGGGAGAAAGCGGGGGAUCUUCGGACCUCGCGCGAUUGGAGCGGCCGAUGUCGGAUUAGCUAGUUGGUGGGGUAAAAGCCCACCAAGGCGACGAUCCGUAGCGGGUCUGAGAGGAUGAUCAGCCACACUGGGACUGAGACACGGCCCAGACUCCUACGGGAGGCAGCAGUGAGGAAUAUUGGUCAAUGGACGCAAGUCUGAACCAGCCACGUCGCGUGAAGGAAGACGGCCCUACGGGUUGUAAACUUCUUUUAUACGGGAAUAAAGUGCCCCACGCGGGGGUUUUGGUCAUGUACCGUAUGAAUAAGGAUCGGCUAACUCCGUGCCAGCAGCC